rnacentral:misc_RNA from 1 species
CAGAUUUUUUUUCCCCGCAACUCUCCCCGCAGUCUGUUUUUCUCGUAGUGACAAAAUGGCGACCAUUAUGUCUGAGUACGUUGUGCAGAUGGCAAAGGAAUUUGUCAACUUUAUGAACCAAGCCAUCACUCCGUUUCACGUUGUGCAAACAGUUGCCGAAAUGCUGAAGGACGCCGGGUACACGCAGCUUCAUGAGGAAAAGGCUUGGCCAGAAAUAACUCCCGGGGGCAAGUACUACUUGAUGCGCAAUGGCACCAGCAUCAUUGCGUUUUCAGUCGGAGGAAAAUUUGACCCGAUGAACGGUGUAAAGAUUGUUGGCGCGCACACGGAUUCCCCCAAUUUUCUGCUGAAGCCACGCACAAAAUCAACCGCUGCUGAUUACCAGCGCGUUGCAGUGCAGUGCUACGGUGGCGGCCUGUGGCACUCGUGGUUUGAUCGUGAUUUGACGGUUGCCGGCCGCGUUAUGAUUUCACGAGAACGCCUGGAGCAGAAAAUCAUCAAGAUCGACAAACCAAUAAUGCGUAUCCCAAAUCUCGCUAUUCAUUUGACCUCUGCCAAGGAUCGCGAAGCGUUUUCGCCCAACAAGGAGUCUCAUCUGAUCCCUAUUAUAUCUACGCAGAUAGCCGCGAAGAUUGCGGAGUGUGACGACAAGGACGCAUCGAAUCCGAAUCACUGUGUUUCCUUGAUGAAGGCGAUCGCGAGCGUUGCUGGAUGCAGCGCGGAUGAAAUUGUCGAUUUCGAUUUGAGUGUGAUUGACACCCAACCAGCAGUGAUUGGAGGUAUUCAUGAUGAGUUUAUCUUCUCGCCGCGCCUCGACAAUCUGAUCUCGUGCUAUUGUGCUGUGAAGGCGAUUGUCGAGGCUGGCUCUUUGGAAAAUGAUACGAUGAUGCGGAUGGUGUGUUUGUUCGAUCACGAAGAGUGUGGUUCCAGCUCAUCCCAAGGUGCUGCCGGCUCACUGGUUCCUGAUGUUAUUGAGCACAUUGUAAGCAACAAAACCCUUCGUGCAACGUUGGUCGCCAAUUCGUUUCUUCUCUCUGUCGAUGGCGCACAUGGAUGCCACCCGAACUACGCUGACAAACACGAAAAUGCUCACCGACCAGCUCUCCAUGGAGGACCUGUUAUCAAAUACAAUGCAAACGUCCGUUAUGCGACCAACGGAUUGACAGCAGCCGUAGUGAAGGAUAUGGCGAAGAAGGCUGACAUACCCAUCCAAGAGUUUGUGGUGCGAAAUGACUCUCCCUGCGGAUCCACCAUCGGGCCCAUUCUGUCUUCUCUGUCCGGUAUAAAAACUGCUGAUAUUGGCAACCCCAUGAUCAGCAUGCACAGUAUCCGGGAGAUGUGUGGUACUGUUGAUGUCUACUACCUGACGAAGCUGAUUGAAUCCUUUUUUGUCAACUACCAAAGCCCACAUGAGUAGUUGGCCGCAAACGCUGCCAAAUCGUCGAAUCAGCUUUCUCGACUCUCUAACACAUUCGUCUUUCUUCAUGUAGUGAUGACAAAGUGCUAGGUCCCGGCUUUGAGUUUAGUGAAUGACUUUCUCUCUUUGACGAGAACAUACUGACUGCUUGCGAAGCUGUCAACUUCUGCUUACCUGUGGCGAGGCUCGACAGCUUCUAAAGCGGUAGAUACCGCUGAAAUGUUGCUACUGCGGCCCUUUUCAUUCAUCUUCACUCUCUUUCUCUUUUGCGAUUCUGGCUCACUUUUACUUGAGAAAACUGGUUGAAUGACGGAAAAUGUGUGUGCAGUGACAGGUUUUCCUUUUGACGUUCGGAAAAGCUGUUGAGGCAUUUUUUACUAUCUUUCUUUCCCCCCUUGUUGUUCUUUGGUCUUUUCGGCGGGUUUCCAUUGCUUCUCUCCAAACAAAUUUUCAGAUUCACGCGCUGAUGAUGCGCAGCCACUGUCAUGACGCUACAGAUUCGUGACCAAAGAUAGCUGAAGUAAGCCUGCCGAGUACAGCGGAGGGGGAUCGCUGCACCGUCACCACGUUUUUGAGUCCAAAGGC